AUACGUAGGGUGCAAGCGUUAAUCGGAAUUACUGGGCGUAAAGCGUGCGCAGGCGGUUUUGUAAGACUGAGGUGAAAUCCCCGGGCUCAACCCGGGAACUGCCUUUGUGACUGCAAGGCUAGAGUACGGCAGAGGGGGGUGGAAUUCCGCGGGUAGCAGUGAAAUGCGUAGAUAUGCGGAGGAACACCGAUGGCGAAGGCAAUCCCCUGGGCCUGUACUGACGCUCAUGCACGAAAGCGUGGGGAGCAAACAGGAUUAGAUACCCUGGUAGUCCACGCCCUAAACGAUGUCAACUGGUUGUUGGGUCUUCAUUGACUCAGUAACGAAGCUAACGCGUGAAGUUGACCGCCUGGGGAGUACGGCCGCAAGGUUGAAACUCAAAUGAAUUGACGG
rnacentral:rRNA from 1 species